rnacentral:rRNA from 1 species
UUACCCAAUUCUGACACGGAGAGGUAGUGACAAGAAAUAACGAUACAGGGCAUUCAUGUCUUGUACUUGGGCUGAGUAGAAUGUAAACGACUCUAUGAGUAUCAAUUGGAGGGCAAGUCUGGUGCCAGCAGCCGCGGUAACUCCAGCUCCAAUAGCGUAUAUUGAAGUUGUUGCGGUUAAAAAGCUCGUCGUUGGAUUUCUGUUGAGGUCGAACAGUGCCGCCCUAUGGGUGCGCAACUGGCUCGGCUUCGGCAUCUUCUUGGAGAGCGUAUCUGCACUUAACUGUGUGGAUCGUACUUCAAGUCAGUUACUUUGAGGAAUUGUGAGUGUUUCAAGCAGGCUUACGCCGUUGAAUCCGUUAGCAUGGAAUAAUAGAAUAGGACCUCGGUUCUAUUUUGUUGGUUUUGAGAGCUGGGGCAGCGAUUGAUAGGGACGGAUGGGGGCGUCCGAACUUUACUGUCAGAGGUGAAAUUCUUAGAUCGGUCAAAGGCGAACUACUGCGAACGCAUUCGCCAAGAAUGUUUUCUUUAAUCAAGAACGAAAGUUAGGGGAUCGAAGACGAUCAGAUACCGUCCUAGUCUUAACCAUAAACGUUACUGACUAGAGAUUGGAGGUUGUGAUUCACAAACUCCAUCAGCACCUCUAUGUGUAAACAAAGUCUUUGAGUUCUGGGGGGAGUAUGGUCGCAAGACUGAAACUUAAAGGAAUUGACGGAAGGGCACCACCAGGAGUGGAACCUGCGGCUUAAUUUGACUCAACACGGGGAAACUUACCAGAUCAAGACAUAGUAAGGAUUGACAGAUUGAGAGUUC